GUGAGGAAUUUUCCGCAAUGGGCGAAAGCCUGACGGAGCAAUGCCGCGUGCAGGAAGAAGGCCUUCGGGUUGUAAACUGCUUUUGUACGGAACGAAACGGUCCUGGUUAAUACCUGGGGCUAAUGACGGUACCGUAAGAAUAAGCACCGGCUAACUACGUGCCAGCAGCCGCGGUAAUACGUAGGGUGCAAGCGUUAAUCGGAAUUACUGGGCGUAAAGCGUGCGCAGGCGGUUUUGUAAGACAGGCGUGAAAUCCCCGGGCUCAACCUGGGAAUUGCGCUUGUGACUGCAAGGCUGGAGUGCGGCAGAGGGGGAUGGAAUUCCGCGUGUAGCAGUGAAAUGCGUAGAUAUGCGGAGGAACACCGAUGGCGAAGGCAAUCCCCUGGGCCUGCACUGACGCUCAUGCACGAAAGCGUGGGGAGCAAACAGGAUUAGAAACCCGAGUAGUCC
rnacentral:rRNA from 1 species